UGCCGGCUAUUGCGGUGGACAUCGUGUUCCGCGUUCUUGGCAAAAAACCCAUGUUGUUAAGACUACAACGCAGAGUGAUCGGCGCGAGUCUGGCUUUGGAGUUCUUUAUGAUGCGAUCGUGGGCGUUUAACAACGACAACUUCAUGAACCUACUAUCUAAACUGAAUCCGCAAGAUCGAAUACAAUUCUCUUUUACGUUGGACAAAUUAAAAUCAGUAGAAUUUGUAGUAAAUGCUGGUUUAAGGGCGAGAAAAGAUCUUCUACAUCAAGACGAAAAAAGUAUAAAGAAAUGGAGAACCAUUUAUAAAUGGGAGGUAAUAAUAGACAGAAUUUUGACGUGUAUAUUCUACGCGUGUGCGUCAUGGUGGAUUGUGAAUACGUUGGCGAAUUGGUAUAUACAAUAACUGUAUAAUCGGAAACUUGCUCAAG